rnacentral:rRNA from 1 species
CACCACAGUGUGUGAUAUAGUAGUGUGGUGCGCAUUAUAUAAUAUAUACAACUUUCAGCAACGGAUCUCUUGGCUCUCGCAUCGAUGAAGAACGCAGCGAAAUGCGAUAAGUAAUGUGAAUUGCAGAAUUCAGUGAAUCAUCGAAUCUUUGAACGCACCUUGCGCUCCUUGGUAUUCCGAGGAGCAUGCCUGUUUGAGUGUCAUUAAUAUCUAUAUCAANCCUCCNUUUUCCUUGUGUGUGUAAGAAGUUGUCUGGAAUUNGGGGGUUGCUGGCCUGUUNAAAAGGUUCAGCUCCCCUGAAAUGCAUUAGCAGAACAAUCCUUGUUCAUUGGCGUGAUAACUAUNGUAUGCGUAUUGAAUGUGAGGNGCAG